CUACGGGAGGCAGCAGCAGGGAAUAUUGCACAAUGGACGGAAGUCUGAUGCAGCGACGCCGCGUGGAUGAUGAAGGCCCUCGGGUUGUAAAAUCCUUUUCAGGGGGACGAGGAAGGACGGUACCCUUGGAAUAAGCGUCGGCUAACUACGUGCCAGCAGCCGCGGUAAGACGUAGGACGCAAGCGUUAUCCGGAUUUACUGGGCGUAAAGCGUCUGUAGGCGGAAUGGUAAGUUGGACGUGAAAGCUCCGGGCUCAACUCGGAGAGGUCGUUCAAUACUGCCAAACUAGAGGGCAUCAGAGGAGCGUGGAAUUUCCGGUGUAGCGGUAAAAUGCGCAGAUAUCGGAAGGAACACCAAUGGCGAAGGCAGCGCUCUGGGAUGAACCUGACGCUAAGAGACGAAAGCUAGGGGAGCGAACAGGAUUAGAUACCCUAGUAGUC
rnacentral:rRNA from 1 species